UCUCCGUAGGUGAACCUGCGGAGGGAUCAUUACAGAGUUCAUGCCCUACCGGGUAGAUCUCCCACCCUAUGUUAUUAUUACUUUGUUGCUUUGGCGGGCCGUUAGGCUCCGGCCCGACUACCGGCCCCGGCUGGUAAGCGCCCGCCAGAGGACCCAAAACCCUGAAUAUUAGUGUCGUCUGAGUACUAUAUAAUAGUUAAAACUUUCAACAACGGAUCUCUUGAUUCUG
rnacentral:misc_RNA from 1 species